ensembl:lncRNA
GUACUGGUACAGAGUCAAUGUGGAGGCUAUAUACAGGGGGUACCAGUACAGAGUUAAUGUGGAGGCUAUACACAGGGGAUAACAGUACAGAGUCCAUGUGUAGGCUAUAUACAGGAUGUACCAGUACAGAGUCAAUGUGGAGGCUAUAUACAGGGGGUACCAGUACAGAGUCAAUGUGGGGGCUAUAUACAGGGGGUACCAGUACAGAGUCAAUGUGGAGGUUAUAUACAGGGGGUACUAGUACAGAGUCAAUGUGGAGGCUAUAUACAGGGGGUACCAGUACAGAGUCAAUGUGGGGGCUAUAUACAGGGGGUACCAGUACAGAGUCAAUGUGGAGGCUAUAUACAGGGGGUACCAGUACAGAGUCAAUGUGGAGGCUAUAUACAGGGGGUACCGGUACAGAGUCAAUGUGGAGGCUAUAUACAGGGGGUACCAGUACAGAGUCAAUGUGGAGGCUAUAUACAGGGGGUACCAGUACAGAGUCAAUGUGGAGGCUAUAUACAGGGGGUACUGGUACAGAGUCAAUGUGGAGGCUAUAUACAGGAGGUACCGGUACAGAGUCAAUGUGGAGGCUAUAUACAGGGGGUACCGGUACAGAGUCAAUGUGGAGGCUAUAUACAGGGGGUACCGGUACAGAGUCAAUGUGGAGGCUCUAUACAGGGUGUUACGGUACAGAGUCAAUGUGGAGGCUAUAUACAGGGGGUACCGGUACAGAGUCAAUGUGGAGGCUAUAUACAGGGGGUACCGGUACAGAGUCAAUGUGGAGGCUCUAUACAGGAGGUACCGGUACAGAGUCAAUGUGGAGACUAUAUACAGGGGGUACCGGUACAGAGUCAGUGUGGAGGCUAUAUACA